rnacentral:rRNA from 1 species
CCUACGGGAGGCAGCAGUGGGGAAUAUUGCGCAAUGGGCGAAAGCCUGACGCAGCCACGCCGCGUGAGUGAUGAAGGCCUUCGGGUCGUAAAGCUCUGUCGGGAGGGACGAAGGGGCAACCCUGACGGUACCUCGCAAGAAAGCACCGGCUAACUCUGUGCCAGCAGCCGCGGUAAUACAGAGGGUGCAAGCGUUGCUCGGAUUUAUUGGGCGUAAAGCGCACGCAGACGGUUUGGAAGGUCGGACGUGAAAGCCCCGGGCUCAACCUGGGAACUGCGUUCGAAACCACCAUCCUUGAGUUCGGGAGAGGGAGGCGGAAUUCCUGGUGUAGAGGUGAAAUUCGUAGAUAUCAGGAGGAACACCAGCGGCGAAGGCGGCUUCCUGGCCCGAUACUGACGUUCAGGUGCGAAAGCGUGGGUAGCAAACAGGAUUAGAUACCCCAGUAGUC